rnacentral:rRNA from 1 species
GAUGAACGCUGGCGGCGUGCUUAACACAUGCAAGUCGAACGGGAAAGGGUAGCUUGCUAUCUUUUCUUAGUGGCGGACGGGUGAGUAACGCGUGGGUAACCUGCCCUUUGCAGGGGGAUAACAGUGAGAAAUCACUGCUAAUACCGCAUACCAACUUCUUUCGCAUGAAGGAAGUUUGAAAGAUUUAUCGGCAAAGGAUGGACCCGCGUUGGAUUAGCUAGUUGGUGAGAUAACAGCCCACCAAGGCAACGAUCCAUAGCCGGCCUGAGAGGGUGAACGGCCACACUGGGACUGAGACACGGCCCAGACUCCUACGGGAGGCAGCAGUGGGGAAUAUUGCACAAUGGGCGAAAGCCUGAUGCAGCGACGCCGCGUGAAGGAUGAAGGUCUUCGGAUUGUAAACUUCUAUCAGCAGGGAAGAAAGGGCCUAUGGCCUAUGACGGUACCUAACUAAGAAGCCCCGGCUAACUACGUG